rnacentral:lncRNA from 1 species
UUGUAUAUUAUGUUGUUUCAAGUUUUGUUGUUCAAUAAAAGGUGGUAAAAAAUGAGACUCUCUCAAGCUUCUCUUAGAAGAGGGGAGUGAAAUAUUUUAUAAUAUAUUUUAAAUAAGAUGAGAGGAGAGUGUAAUUUAAGCAUCUUUAAGAGGAGGACAGUGUAAUUUACUCUUUUAACAUAUUGUUGAGAUUUGUGGAUAAAGUAACAUUGAUUGUAUGUAGUAUUUCAAUCAUAUCUAGAGUUAUGAACAUCCAAGUGAAAUCAAAUCAAUUAAAUAUACAUUUUUGUUCAUCUCAACUUGCAUCAAGAUGAUGACUUAUUAGAGGAUGUUAAUGGUCGACUUAUUAUGUAAAGAUUAACGUAGACAUAUGGAUCAAACUAUAACAUUGUUUCUUUGAUUAUAUCUACUCACUCUUUGUAACUUACACCGUAACAUCCCAGACAACUUUAAAAAUUGCCGACUGACCCUACAAACUAACACGAGUCUUUUCAGCGUGUUUUGUCCUCACUCGCACGUUUAAUUGUGAAGUUCUUAUGAAAUGGGCUACCAAAAAAAGAAGCAUCUUGUUGAUAUAGAAAGUACCAAACAAUUCUUAUAAGCCUUCCUUCAACCAUGCAGUCCCAUACUUGCACGACCUUUUGGGAUCCCUCUCAUUCCGGUGUGAAUCGGCUCAUCUAGAAUUUUGACUUUCAACUUCACAUUUACGGUUGAUUUGACAUCGCCAGAAGCUUCGUCGGAAGCUUCAAUUAUUGUUGGUUUCGGGUCAACGCCAUCAUCUGCCACAUUCUCAUCCAUAGGGGUGGACGUCGGUCGGUUUCGGCCGGUUUUCGGUUUGAAAAUAGCAAUCCGUUGAUAACCACGGUUGAUAUAUAUGCAUCCAUUCCCGUCCGUUUAAAAGUUCGGUUUAGUCGGUGUCGGUUGUUUCGGGUGACGGAUUGGAUCGGACGGUUUGCACGGUUUUUGUUGAAAUUGAGUAAAACAUUCAAAAAAAGUCGUUGUCAAGAUUGGGAGUCAUGGUCACCACCAUCAAAUAUGGGGGA